rnacentral:rRNA from 1 species
UACGGAGGGUGCAAGCGUUAUCCGGAUUCACUGGGUUUAAAGGGUGCGUAGGUGGGUUGGUAAGUCAGUGGUGAAAUACUUUCGCUUAACGAAGGAACUGCCAUUGAUACUAUCAAUCUUGAAUGUAGUGGAGGUAGGCGGAAUGCGUCAUGUAGCGGUGAAAUGCUUAGAUAUGACGCAGAACACCAAUUGCGAAGGCAGCUUGCUACACUACUAUUGACACUGAGGCACGAAAGCGUGGGGAUCAAACAGG